rnacentral:rRNA from 4 species
AAAUUGAAGAGUUUGAUCAUGGCUCAGAUUGAACGCUGGCGGCAGGCCUAACACAUGCAAGUCGAACGGUAACAGGAAGCAGCUUGCUGCUUUGCUGACGAGUGGCGGACGGGUGAGUAAUGUCUGGGAAACUGCCUGAUGGAGGGGGAUAACUACUGGAAACGGUGGCUAAUACCGCAUAACGUCGCAAGACCAAAGAGGGGGACCUUCGGGCCUCUUGCCAUCAGAUGUGCCCAGAUGGGAUUAGCUUGUUGGUGAGGUAACGGCUCACCAAGGCGACGAUCCCUAGCUGGUCUGAGAGGAUGACCAGCCACACUGGAACUGAGACACGGUCCAGACUCCUACGGGAGGCAGCAGUGGGGAAUAUUGCACAAUGGGCGCAAGCCUGAUGCAGCCAUGCCGCGUGUAUGAAGAAGGCCUUCGGGUUGUAAAGUACUUUCAGCGGGGAGGAAGGUGUUGCGGUUAAUAACCGCAGCAAUUGACGUUACCCGCAGAAGAAGCACCGGCUAACUCCGUGCCAGCAGCCGCGGUAAUACGGAGGGUGCAAGCGUUAAUCGGAAUUACUGGGCGUAAAGCGCACGCAGGCGGUCUGUCAAGUCGGAUGUGAAAUCCCCGGGCUCAACCUGGGAACUGCAUUCGAAACUGGCAGGCUUGAGUCUUGUAGAGGGGGGUAGAAUUCCAGGUGUAGCGGUGAAAUGCGUAGAGAUCUGGAGGAAUACCGGUGGCGAAGGCGGCCCCCUGGACAAAGACUGACGCUCAGGUGCGAAAGCGUGGGGAGCAAACAGGAUUAGAUACCCUGGUAGUCCACGCCGUAAACGAUGUCUACUUGGAGGUUGUGCCCUUGAGGCGUGGCUUCCGGAGCUAACGCGUUAAGUAGACCGCCUGGGGAGUACGGCCGCAAGGUUAAAACUCAAAUGAAUUGACGGGGGCCCGCACAAGCGGUGGAGCAUGUGGUUUAAUUCGAUGCAACGCGAAGAACCUUACCUGGUCUUGACAUCCACAGAACUUUCCAGAGAUGGAUUGGUGCCUUCGGGAACUGUGAGACAGGUGCUGCAUGGCUGUCGUCAGCUCGUGUUGUGAAAUGUUGGGUUAAGUCCCGCAACGAGCGCAACCCUUAUCCUUUGUUGCCAGCGAUUAGGUCGGGAACUCAAAGGAGACUGCCAGUGAUAAACUGGAGGAAGGUGGGGAUGACGUCAAGUCAUCAUGGCCCUUACGACCAGGGCUACACACGUGCUACAAUGGCGCAUACAAAGAGAAGCGACCUCGCGAGAGCAAGCGGACCUCAUAAAGUGCGUCGUAGUCCGGAUUGGAGUCUGCAACUCGACUCCAUGAAGUCGGAAUCGCUAGUAAUCGUGGAUCAGAAUGCCACGGUGAAUACGUUCCCGGGCCUUGUACACACCGCCCGUCACACCAUGGGAGUGGGUUGCAAAAGAAGUAGGUAGCUUAACCUUCGGGAGGGCGCUUACCACUUUGUGAUUCAUGACUGGGGUGAAGUCGUAACAAGGUAACCGUAGGGGAACCUGCGGUUGGAUCACCUCCUUACCUUAAAGAA